rfam:Pseudomonas sp. HPB0071 genomic scaffold aczIi-supercont1.5, whole genome shotgun sequence.
AUCAACUGCAGCACAGGAUGUGCUCAGAGAGAUCAAGGAUGAUUGAUCAUCGCCUGGAUGGCAGCUCGACAGGACGUUGAGUAUGAUCAACAAGAACCCGCUUCGGCGGGUUUUUU